CACGUAGGGGCCAAGCGUUGUCCGGAUUUAUUGGGCGUAAAGAGCUCGUAGGCGGUUCAGCAAGUCGGGUGUGAAAACUCUGGCUCAACCCGAGAGACGCCACCCGAUACUGCUGUGACUAGAGUCCGGUAGGGGAGUGGGGAAUUCCUGGUGUAGCGGUGAAAUGCACAGAUAUCAGGAGGAACACCGGUGGCGAAGGCGCCACUCGUGGGCCGGCACUGACGCUGAGGAGCGAAAGCGUGGGUAGCAAACAGG
rnacentral:rRNA from 1 species